rnacentral:rRNA from 1 species
GACGAACGCUGGCGGCGUGCUUAACACAUGCAAGUCGAACGGAGAUAUAUAAAUAGUUUACUAUGAAUAUAUUUUAGUGGCGGACGGGUGAGUAACACGUGGGCAACCUGCCUUAGAGUGGGGGAUAACAACGAGAAAUCGUUGCUAAUACCGCAUGAAAUUAAUCCAUCGCAUGAUGGAAUAAUGAAAGGAGAAAUCCGCUAAAAAGAUGGGCCCGCGCCUGAUUAGCUAGUUGGUGAGGUAAAAGCUCACCAAGGCGACGAUCAGUAGCCGAUCUGAGAGGAUGACCGGCCACACUGGAACUGAGACACGGUCCAGACUCCUACGGGAGGCAGCAGUGGGGAAUAUUGCACAAUGGGGAAACCCUGAUGCAGCAACGCCGCGUGGAGGAAGAAGGGUUUUCGGAUUGUAAACUCCUGUCUUUUGGGACGAUAAUGACGGUACCAAAAAGAGGAAGCCACGGCUAACUACGUGCCAGCAGCCGCCGGUAAGCAUACUCGUACG